rnacentral:rRNA from 1 species
CGCGUAGGUGGUUCGGUAAGUUGCUGGUGAAAUCCCGGGGCUCAACCCCGGGGCUGCCGGCACGACUGCCGGACUUGAGCACGGUAGGGGCAGAUGGAAUUCCCGGUGUAGCGGUGGAAUGCGUAGAGAUCGGGAAGAACACCAGUGGCGAAGGCGUUCUGCUGGGCCGUUGCUGACACUGAGGCGCGACAGCGUGGGGAGCAAACA